UAGGGGAGCGUAAGUGCGAAUGUGCAAAUAUAAAACCAACUUUACUUCUAUCAACAGCAGCUGGAUCCUCCGACAGGCUCCAAACCUCACCGAGGAAAAGCAGCUGAACCUCACCGUCCCGCUGGACAGCAAAGGACAGUAUGAGAGCUGUAGGAUGUUCACACCUGUAGAGAUGGAUAUUGAGGAUAUUGAACAUUAUGGAAUAAACACAACUACAUCUUGUAUUGAUGGAUGGGUUUAUAAGACACCGAAAAGCAGCAGCAGCACACUUAUAACUGAGUUUGACCUGGUGUGUGAAAAUAAGGUUUAUAGUGAGGCCUCUCAGUCCAUCUACAUGGCUGGUCUUCUUGUUGGAGCCCUAUUGUUUGGUCCAAUGGCAGACAAGUAUGGCCGGCGGUUUGCCACACUGCUGUCCUUGCUCCUGCUGUUUUUGUCUGGAGUGGGAGUUGCAUUUUCCCCUAACAUCUAUGUCUACAUGGUCCUUCGUUUUGUUGUUGGCACCACAAUAUCUGGGAUCUCUAUCAACACAUUUGUUCUGGGUACUGAGUGGUGUGGUUCAGCCAAACGGGCCCUUUUCACCAUAUUAUCGCACUGCUUUAUUGCCCUUGGUCAAAUGUUGCUGUCUGGGGUGGCCUAUGGGAUUUGAAACUGGAGGGUUUUACAACUGGUUUUAUCAGCGCCAGUUGGGCUUUUCUUUGUCUAUUACUGGAUUCUCCCUGAGUCUGCGAGAUGGCUUCUGACUCAAGGCAAACUAGACAGUGCCAAGAAAGAGAUCCUCAAAGCUGCCCGAAUUAAUGGCAGGAAGGUGUCUAUAAAUCUGCUUGACAAGAUGGAAGCAGAGAACACAGCCAAAUCAAGCACCAUGAUAGACCUGUUCCGAGUGGCUUACCUGAGAAAGAGAGCUCUCAUCAUGUGCUAUAUGUGGUUUGUGACAUCACUAGUUUACUAUGGUGUCAGCUUGAAUGUGGGGAACUUCGGCCUGGACAUUUACCUGACUCAACUCAUCUUUGGCAUGGCAGAGUUUCCUGCACGGCUGUCCUGCUUUCCUCUCAUUCAGCGCUUUGGACGGAGAAUUUGCCAGAGUGUCUUUCUGCUACUUGGAGGCACAGCCUGCCUGAUUAUUCCUGCUAUUCCAGCGAAAUAUCCUAUAAUUGUGACUGUAACCGCAGUGUUUGGGAAGUUUUCAAUUUCUGCGGCCUUCUCCAUUGUAUACGUGUACACCGCUGAGCUCUACCCAACAGUUGUGAGGCAGAAUGGGGUGGGCCUGAACUCCAUGUGUGCCCGUGUGGCUGGUAUUCUGGCUCCUCUGAUUGGCUUGUUGGACGUUUAUCAUCAUGCCAUUCCUAUGAUCAUAUACGGCUCGCUGCCUUUUGUUGGAGGAGCUCUGACCUUCCUGCUUCCAGAAACACUGAACACUGACCUGCAGGACCACACAGAUAUCCCUGCGGAUGAGAGCAUGGGAUUAAAUAAAGCCAGCAUUGAAAAAGGACUGAAUAAGGAGCAAGGACUGGUUCUCAAGAGCACAAAAUUUUGAGAUUUGUACUGCUGUUUGAAACAAUAGCUGUUUAUGAAAUUGAUAGAUUUUAUAAAUAAGUAAACUUGGUUUAUUUAUCAGGUUUACUUUUCUUGCUGCAUCAUGUUUGUAAAGUUUUAGUAAUUUAAAAUAAAUUUGUACUUUUUUAUCUUUUCAAUGAAAGAAAGUAAACAUCUGUGAUAUAUUUAUGAUA